rnacentral:rRNA from 1 species
AGUGAACGCUGGCGGUAGGCCUAACACAUGCAAGUCGAACGGCAGCACAGUAAGAGCUUGCUCUUACGGGUGGCGAGUGGCGGACGGGUGAGGAAUACAUCGGAAUCUACUUUUUCGUGGGGGAUAACGUAGGGAAACUUACGCUAAUACCGCAUACGACCUACGGGUGAAAGCAGGGGAUCUUCGGACCUUACGCGAUUGAAUGAGCCGAUGUCGGAUUAGCUAGUUGGCGGGGUAAAGGCCCACCAAGGCGACGAUCCGUAGCUGGUCUGAGAGGAUGAUCGGCCACACUGGAACUGAGACACGGUCCAGACUCCUACGGGAGGCAGCAGUGGGGAAUAUCGGACAAUGGGCGCAAGCCUGAUCCAGCCAUACCGCGUGGGUGAAGAAGGCCUUCGGGUUGUAAAGCCCUUUUGUUGGGAAAGAAAAGCAGCAGGUUAAUACCCCGCUGUUCUGACGGUACCCAAAGAAUAAGCACCGGCUAACUUCGUG